rnacentral:rRNA from 1 species
AGAGUUUGAUCAUGGCUACAGAACGAACGCUGGCGGCAGGCUUAACACAUGCAAGUCGAACGGGCGUAGCAAUACGUCAGUGGCAGACGGGUGAGUAACACGUGGGAACCUUCCUAGGGGUACGGAACAACUCAGGGAAACUUGAGCUAAUACCGUAUACGUCCGUGAGGAGAAAGAUUUAUCGCCCUUAGACGGGCCCGCGUCGGAUUAGCUAGUUGGUGGGGUAACGGCCUACCAAGGCGACGAUCCGUAGCUGAUCUGAGAGGAUGAUCAGCCACACUGGGACUGAGACACGGCCCAGACUCCUACGGGAGGCAGCAGUGGGGAAUCUUGGGACAAUGGGCGCAAGCCUGAUCCAGCCAUGCCGCGUGAGUGAAGAAGGCCUUCGGGUUGUAAAGCUCUUUUGUCAGGGACGAUAAUGACGGUACCUGAAGAAUAAGCCCCGGCAAACUUCGUG